UGGGGAAUUUUGGACAAUGGGCGAAAGCCUGAUCCAGCAAUGCCGCGUGUGUGAAGAAGGCCUUCGGGUUGUAAAGCACUUUUGUCCGGAAAGAAAUCCUUGGCUCUAAUACAGUCGGGGGAUGACGGUACCGGAAGAAUAAGCACCGGCUAACUACGUGCCAGCAGCCGCGGUAAUACGUAGGGUGCAAGCGUUAAUCGGAAUUACUGGGCGUAAAGCGUGCGCAGGCGGUUUGCUAAGACCGAUGUGAAAUCCCCGGGCUCAACCUGGGAACUGCAUUGGUGACUGGCAGGCUAGAGUAUGGCAGAGGGGGGUAGAAUUCCACGUGUAGCAGUGAAAUGCGUAGAGAUGUGGAGGAAUACCGAUGGCGAAGGCAGCCCCCUGGGCCAAUACUGACGCUCAUGCACGAAAGCGUGGGGGAGCAAACAGGAUUAGAUACCCUGGUAGUCCACGCCCUAAAACGAUGUCAACUAGUUGUUGGGGAUUCAUUUCCUUAGUAACGUAGCUAACGCGUGAAGUUGACCGCCUGGGGAGUACGGUCGCAAGAUUAAAACUC
rnacentral:rRNA from 1 species